rnacentral:rRNA from 1 species
GACGAACGCUGGCGGCGUGCUUAACACAUGCAAGUCGAAUGGAAAGGCCCCCUUGUGGGGUACUCGAGUGGCGAACGGGUGAGUAACACGUGAGUAACCUACCCUUGACUUUGGGAUAACUUCAGGAAACUGGGGCUAAUACCGGAUAGGAGCUCCUGCUGCAUGGUGGGGGUUGGAAAGUUUCGGCGGUUGGGGAUGGACUCGCGGCUUAUCAGCUUGUUGGUGGGGUAGUGGCUCACCAAGGCUUUGACGGGUAGCCGGCCUGAGAGGGUGACCGGCCACAUUGGGACUGAGAUACGGCCCAGACUCCUACGGGAGGCAGCAGUGGGGAAUAUUGCACAAUGGGCGGAAGCCUGAUGCAGCAACGCCGCGUGCGGGAUGACGGCCUUCGGGUUGUAAACCGCUUUCGCCUGUGACGAAGCGUGAGUGACGGUAAUGGGUAAAGAAGCACCGGCUAACUACGUG